GAUGAACGCUGGCGGCGUGCUUAACACAUGCAAGUCGAACGGAAAGGCCCCAGCUUGCUGGGGUACUCGAGUGGCGAACGGGUGAGUAAUACAUAAGUAACCUGGCAUCUACAGGGGGAUAACUGAUGGAAACGUCAGCUAAGACCGCAUAGGUGUAGAGAUCGCAUGAACUCUAUAUGAAAAGUGCUACGGGACUGGUAGAUGAUGGACUUAUGGCGCAUUAGCUGGUUGGUAGGGUAACGGCCUACCAAGGCGACGAUGCGUAGCCGACCUGGGAGGGUGACCGGCCACACUGGGACUGAGACACGGCCCAGACUCCUACGGGAGGCAGCAGUAGGGAAUUUUCGGCAAUGGGGGAAACCCUGACCGAGCAACGCCGCGUGAAGGAAGAAGUAAUUCGUUAUGUAAACUUCUGUCAUAGAGGAAGAACGGUGGAUGUAGGGAAUGAUAUCCAAGUGACGGUACUCUAUAAGAAAGCCACGGCUAACUACGUGCCAGCAGCCGCGGUAA
rnacentral:rRNA from 1 species